rnacentral:ncRNA from 1 species
UCGACGGGCCGUGACUGGCGCGCUGGGAUGGGACCGACCAUCGGGGAGCGGCCCACUGGACCCUGUCGUCCAGCACCGAGUGCCGUGCGCCUGGGCCGUACCG